AACGCUGGCGGCGUGCCUAACACAUGCAAGUCGAGCGCGAAUAGGGGGGUAACCUCCUUAGUAGAGCGGCGAACGGGUGAGUAACGCGUGGGUGAUCUGUCUCCGAGUGGGGAAUAACACCGGGAAACUGGUGCUAAUACCGCAUGACAUCGUCGGGUCACACUGACGAUCAAAGCCGGGGGCCGCAAGGCCUGGCGCUUGGAGAGGAGCCCGCGUCCGAUUAGCUAGUUGGUGGGGUAAUGGCCUACCUAGGCUUCGAUCGGUAGCCGGCCUUAGAGGGCGGACGGCCACACUGGGACUGAGACACGGCCCAGACUCCUACGGGAGGCAGCAGUGGGGAAUUUUUCGCUAUGGGGGAAACCCUGACGAAGCAACGCCGCGUGGAGGAUGAAGGCCUUCUGAUUGUAAACUCCUGUCGACCGGGACGAAAGCGAUAGAACCUAAUACGUUCUGUUGUUGACUGUACCGGUGGAGGAAGCCACGGCUAACUCUGUGCCAGUAGCCGCGGUAAUAAGGU
rnacentral:rRNA from 1 species